AACAAAUUAAAUAGAAAAAUAGAUAAAAUCAUCCAGUUGGUAAGUGCAAGAAUCUCUUCAUCUUCUCUACCAAACCUCUUCAUCUGCUUUCUCCCCCCCUACCCCCGUCUUGAUCUUCAUCUCCUUUCUACCAAAUCUAGGGUGUUUCUUUAUUAAUCUUCGAAGGAUUCAAUUUGAUCCAUUAAAGAAUUUUUCUACAUCUAAUGUACAGUUUCGUCAGAUCUAUUUUCAAAGGUCUUGAUAUUUGCAAGUCAGCUCAAAUAGCAUGUCGCUUUGAUGUCUUCAUCGUCUCAGUAUCUUAGAUAAGCUUUUAUAGCAGAAGUAUCACAGUUUCCGGAGAGACAAAAAGGUCCAAUGUGUUCCCUUUAAUAGAUUCCUAUGAUUUUUUAAAUGGUUUCUCUAGUGGUUCUAUUAUUUUAUUGGAUGAUUAACACAAGCUACAAGAUCCUGGAUUUUGAGUUUCAGCUGAAGAAGGUGAAACUAUUAAUCCAAUUAGUAAGACAUCAAUUUUAUGUAUCUUUCUGCCUUUAGUAUUAUUAUUUUUUUUAUAAAUAAAAUCAUUGUACAUUUAUGUCCUUUCUGUGCAAUUUUAUUUUCUGAAAUAAUAAGAUAUUUAUGCCUUUUUGUUUGUGAAAUUUUAUUUUUUAAAUAUAAAAUGAAAGUAGACGAUAAAUAUUAGAUUUAAAAGAAAAUUGAUCAUCCACUUCUUCACUUCCUAAGUUUUUGGGUUCAUAGGUAGCACUUCUUCCUCCACUACUUCAUAAUCGUCCUCAAGAAAAAGAAAAAAAAGAAAACUUCCUUUUGGCCCUUAACUUUUUUAGUUUUUAUUUGCUCCAAAAUAAUUUCAGGACAACCACUAUAUAUAUGAGAAAACAAACGAAAAAGUAUUAUCUUUGCAAAGUGAAGCAGAAUUUCUAAACCUCAAAAAGAAGAGUAUUCUGCCAAUCAAUGACACCACGUGGACGUGUCUUUAAGCAAACUACAUUCACAGAGAAACUUUUCAAGAUACUCAAUCAUUGGAUGAAUUAAAUAGCCCUACUCUUGUUGUUAAUAAAGGUAAUAUAUUUUAAUAUAUUGAUUACGAUUAAUUAUUUAGUUAUUGGCUCAGUUGAACUUUUUACUAAUGGAUAGGUAUAGUGAUCUACACCUUUGGAACUCAACCUAUUUAUAUAAUAUGUGAAGAUCAUAAUAAACAAACAUGAUAUGAAUGAUUAAAAUAAAAUAUGUUAUUGUUAUAAAAUAUUAUAAUGUUGAUUCCACUACACCAAGAAGUUACUCACCCAUUAUCUCCACUGCUUUCCUCAUUAUGAAGAUGACCAUAAUCUCCAUAACCUCCACCUUUAUAACUAUCAUUCUUGUAACCUUUUGGUUUCAUAACCUCCACAUUAUAUUCAUGUUAAUGUCAUGUUUAUGACUAACCUUUUGUAUGCCUCUAUGUUACACUGUAAAUAGAGGCAUAACGGUUCAUAUUGUAUAUACUUGAAGAUUUGGUGAAUACUUGAAAGAAUGAAAGUGAUCUUAUAUUGUUCCUCUCGACGUAUAUUCUUCUUGUCUUCAUCUUAUAUUGUUUUUUUUGUUCUUUAGUUAUAUUACACGUUAUCAACACGAGUUUCUUAUUUUCCGUCAUAAAUCAAUGGUAGGUAUUUUUGAAUUUUUAUGAUUAGCCUAGUAUUUCUUCAUGCAAGGUAUACUUCAUAUUCUAUAUUAUUUGUACUUACAAAGUUUAUUUUAUAGUUAUUUGAUAAUGAUUAGUAAAUUAUGAUAAUCUUCACAACAAUAUUGUGAGGUACAAUAUUUUAAUUUAUUUUACUUGGGAUUUAUGAUUCUAACAUGUUGUUCUAAUUAAUAGUUUUGUUCAUUUUUAUGCAAUUUAAGUCAAAUCAGAUUAUAUUUAUGAUAUUUUAUAUUUAUUUUUUUGGUAAUGUAUUUGAUUUAUAAGACAUUGGUUGAGGGUAAGACAGUGAAUUCAGGUUACACUGCACCAAGUGGGUAAGACAUCGAGUAAAGUCUCGGUGCACCAAGAUAAUAAGAAGUUGGGUUCAAGUCUCGUCGGUUUAUGACCAAAUGCGUCUUUAUAUGGGUUGAAUGAAUGAUUGUGGAUGUGGUAAAAUGAUAAUGAUCAUCAUUGUGGUAAUGAAAAGGAAGAACAUUAUGGGUUCUUAAGAUGAUCCUUCAAAUGUGAAGGUAAUUUUUAUCCAUCAAAGUGAUAUGAGAAGUUAUUGGGAACAUUGUUGUUGAUGCAACCCAAAUUUGAAAAAUUUGUAAAUCCUCCAUCAAAUAAAAUAACACAAAGUGAUAGUACAUUGGUAUAUUUGAUCUUCUAAAGUGAUGUUGAGGUGAGUCACAUAAAUUUGAUGUAUAAAUGUGAAAGUAUGACAAUGACUUUCUAAUAAAAACUUAUGAAGCAUGUUCAAA